CUAGCGACUUCAGAGUUUGAUCCUGGCUCAGGACGAACGCUGGCGGCGUGCUUAACAUAUGCAAGUCGAACGGAGUUAAGACUUCGGUUUUAACUUAGUGGCGAACGGGUGAGUAACGCGUGAGGAACCUGCCUCUCAGUGGGGGACAACAGUUGGAAACGACUGCUAAUACCGCAUAAUGUCAUUGGACGGCAUCGUUUAAUGACCAAAGAUUUAUUGCUGAGAGAUGGCCUCGCGUCUGAUUAGCUAGUUGGUGGGGUAACGGCCCACCAAGGCGACGAUCAGUAGCCGGACUGAGAGGUUGACCGGCCACAUUGGGACUGAGAUACGGCCCAG
rnacentral:rRNA from 1 species